rnacentral:rRNA from 1 species
AUUGAACGCUGGCGGCAUGCUUUACACAUGCAAGUCGAACGGUAACAGGGUGCUCGCACCGCUGACGAGUGGCGAACGGGUGAGUAAUGCGUCGGAACGUGCCGAGUAGUGGGGGAUAACGCAGCGAAAGUUGUGCUAAUACCGCAUACGUACUGAGGUAGAAAGUGGGGGACCUUCGGGCCUCACGCUAUUCGAGCGGCCGACGUCUGAUUAGCUAGUAGGUGAGGUAAAGGCUCACCUAGGCGACGAUCAGUAGCGGGUCUGAGAGGAUGGUACGCCACACUGGGAUUGGGACACGGCCCAGACUCCUACGGGAGGCGGCAGUGGGGAAUGUUGGACAAUGGGCGAAAGCCUGAUCCAGCCAUGCCGCGUGUCUGAAGAAGGCCUUCGGGUUGUAAAGGACUUUUGUCGGGGAGGAAAUCCCCAGCGUUAAUACCGCUGGGGGAUGACAGUACCUGAAGAAUAAGCACCGGCUAACUACGUGCCAGCCGCCGCGGUAA